rnacentral:rRNA from 1 species
UACGUAGGGUGCGAGCGUUGUCCGGAAUUACUGGGCGUAAAGAGCUCGUAGGUGGUUUGUCGCGUUGUUCGUGAAAACUCACAACUCAAUUGUGGGCGUGCGGGCGAUACGGGCAGACUGGAGUACUGCAGGGGAGACUGGAAUUCCUGGUGUAGCGGUGGAAUGCGCAGAUAUCAGGAGGAACACCGGUGGCGAAGGCGGGUCUCUGGGCAGUAACUGACGCUGAGGAGCGAAGGCUAGGGGAGCAAACGGG